GACGGACACAAGGCUAUUCCCUUUAGCUUUGAAAUUAAUAGAGGCAUCUCUUCGGAGCAGGCUACACAAUGCCUCGAUAACUCCUUCAGUGGCAAAUAUGUUUGGUUUGAUUUUGGCCAGGUACAUGAGGCUCAGGUACAGCGUGGUAUCAGGUUUGGCUCGGUUCAUUUUCAGCUGCUUGGCCGCUCCACACAGCACCCCCUCAAUGCGGUCAUCGUUACCUUCCGCCUCCGCUGCCUCAAUUUCAUCCAGCAGCACCGUGGGGACAACUUCGAUGGGGAUGACGGACGGCUCCUUGAUGGAGGGCGAGAUGGCCCGCUUCUCCGCCACGGCCGCCUCGGCCAGACGUCCCAGGGCGCUGAGGGGCGGCGUGGCAGACAGCUUGGGCCGCUUGCUCAGCCCGCCCAGCCCCGCGGGGCCCGACAGCGCGGCGGCCGCGUCCCGUUUGCGCUCGGAGGGCAGCCCGGCGGGCGCCGGCUUCAGCAGAGUGACGGCGGCCUUGCCGUCGCCGCCCUGCCCCUUGGAGCCCAGCGCGAUGAAGUCUCCGGGCGGCGGGUGAGCGGAGGGCUUGGGCGCGGCGCUGGGCCGCCGCACGGCCGCCGCCUUCGGUCGGUUCAUGGUGCCGCCGCGCGCGGACCGCGCCACCGACCCACCAACCCAGCGACCCACCGCCCCCGCGGCCCGGAAGCGG
rnacentral:lncRNA from 1 species